UGGGGAAUAUUGCACAAUGGGGGAAACCCUGAUGCAGCGACGCCGCGUGAACGAAGAAGGUAUUCGUAUCGUAAAGUUCUGUCCUAUGGGAAGAUAAUGACAGUACCAUAGAAGAAAGCUCCGGCUAAAUACGUGCCAGCAGCCGCGGUAAUACGUAUGGAGCGAGCGUUGUCCGGAAUUAUUGGGCGUAAAGGGUACGCAGGCGGUUUAAUAAGUCGAAUGUUAAAGAUCGGGGCUCAACCCCGCAAAGCAUUGGAAACUGAUAAACUAGAGUAGUGGAGAGGAAAGUGGACUUCCUAGUGUAGGGGUGAAAUACGUAGAUAUUAGGAGGAAUACCAGCAGCGAAGGCGACUUUCUGGACACAAACUGACGCUGAGGUACGAAAGCGUGGGGAGCAAACAGG
rnacentral:rRNA from 1 species